rnacentral:misc_RNA from 1 species
GUUCAAAUACGUGACAGUGGUACUUUACAAGUCCAUACAGAGGUGAACAUACGUCUCUUGAUAACUUUACGUUCAGUAGUGACAAAUGAUUAGAAGUAACAUCUCAAGAUAAGUAGCAGAGGAAUGUGUUAGACAUACUGUCAAUUUACCUGUAAUCACUUAUACGUAUCGCCUUUUAUUCGCAAUUACAACAUGUAAUAUAACACGAUUGAAA